GAUGAACGCUAGCGGCGCGCUUAAUGCAUGUAAGUCGAGCGAUGAGGCCCUUCGGGGUACAUCAGCGGCAGACGGGUGAGUAACACGUGGAUGACCUGCCCUCAAGACUGGGAUAACGCGUGGAAACAUGCGCUAAUACCGGAUUGGCUUCUGGGAUCGCAGCCAGAAGUAAAGCUACGGUGCUUGGGGAGGGGUCCGCGGCCCAUCAGCUAGUUGGUAGGGUAACGGCCUACCAAGGCGAAGACGGGUAGGGGGUGUGAGAGCAUGGCCCCCCACAAUGGGACUGAGAGACGGCCCAUACUCCUACGGGAGGCAGCAGCAGGGAAUAUUGCACAAUGGACGGAAGUCUGAUGCAGCGACGCCGCGUGGAUGAUGAAGGCCUUCGGGUCGUAAAAUCCUUUUCGGGGGGAAGAGGAAGGACGGUACC
rnacentral:rRNA from 1 species